rnacentral:rRNA from 1 species
ACGAACGCUGGCGGCGUGCUUAACACAUGCAAGUCGAACGGAUCCAGUAGCAAUAUUGGGUUAGUGGCGAACGGGUGAGUAACACGUGACUAAUCUGCCCCGGACUGGGGAAUAACGUCGGGAAACUGACGCUAAAACCGCAUAUUGAGCGAGGGUUGCAUGACCUGCGCUUGAAAGAUUUAUCGGUCCGGGAUGAGGUCGCGCCCCAUUAGCUUGUUGGUAGGGUAACGGCCUACCAAGGCGACGAUGGGUAGCUGGUCUGAGAGGAUGAUCAGCCACACUGGGACUGAGAUACGGCCCAGACUCCUAUGGGAGGCAGCAGUGAGGAAUAUUGCGCAAUGGGCGAAAGCCUGACGCAGCAACGCCGCGUGGGGGAUGAAGGUGGUUUCCAUUGUAAACCCCUGUAGGGAGGGACGAACAAGCUGGUUUUGCCGGCUUUGACGGUACCUCCAAAGUAAGCACCGGCUAACUCCGU